UUUUAUCUGGCUCAGGAUGAACGCUGGCGGCGUGCCUAAUACAUGCAAGUCGAGCGAAUGGAUUAAGAGCUUGCUCUUAUGAAGUUAGCGGCGGACGGGUGAGUAACACGUGGGUAACCUACCCAUAAGACUGGGAUAACUCCGGGAAACCGGGGCUAAUACCGGAUAAUAUUUUGAACUGCAUAGUUCGAAAUUGAAAGGCGGCUUCGGCUGUCACUUAUGGAUGGACCCGCGUCGCAUUAGCUAGUUGGUGAGGUAACGGCUCACCAAGGCGACGAUGCGUAGCCGACCUGAGAGGGUGAUCGGCCACACUGGGACUGAGACACGGCCCAGACUCCUACGGGAGGCAGCAGUAGGGAAUCUUCCGCAAUGGACGAAAGUCUGACGGAGCAACGCCGCGUGAGUGAUGAAGGCUUUCGGGUCGUAAAACUCUGUUGUUAGGGAAGAACAAGUGCUAGUGAAUAAGCUGGCACCUGACGUACCUACCA
rnacentral:rRNA from 2 species